UACCCUUGGGUCCGGCAUAAUCCUGGGAAACUGGGAAUAAUUCNGGAUAGGUCACCGAUGCUGGAAUGCGCGGUGGCNGAAAGNUCCGGCGCCCGAGGAUGGGUCUGCGGCCUAUCAGGGUUGUAGUGGGUGUAACGUACCUACUAGCNUACGACGGGUACGGGUUGUGAGAGCAAGAGCCCGGAGAUGGAUUNUGAGACACGAAUCCAGGCCNUACGGGGUGCAGCAGGCGCGAAAACUUUACAAUGCGGGAAACCGUGAUAAGGGGAUCUCGAGUGCCAGCAUAUAAUGUUGGCUGUCCAGAUGCNUAAAAAGCAUCUGUUAGCAAGGGCCGGGCAAGACCGGUGCCAGCCGCCGCGGUAACACCGGCGGCCCGAGUGGUAACCGCUAUUAUUGGGUCUAAAGGGUCUGUAGCCGGCCAGGUAAGUCCCUUGGGAAAUNUGGCAGCUCAACUGUCAGGCUGCUAGGGGAUACUGUUUGGCUUGGGACCGGGAGAGGUGAGAGGUACCUUGGGGGUAGGGGUGAAAUCUUGUGAUCCUCGAGGGACCACCAGUGGCGAAGGCGUCUCACCAGAACGGGUCCGACGGUAAGGGACGAAAGNUAGGGGCACGAACCGGAUUAGAU
rnacentral:rRNA from 1 species